UACGUAGGUCCCGAGCGUUGUCCGGAUUUAUUGGGCGUAAAGCGAGCGCAGGUGGUUUAUUAAGUCUGGUGUAAAAGGCAGUGGCCCAACCAUUGUAUGCAUUGGAAACUGGUAGACUUGAGUGCAGGAGAGGAGAGUGGAAUUCCAUGUGUAGCGGUGAAAUGCUUAGAUAUAUGGAGGAACACCGGUGGCGAAAGCGGCUCUCUGGCCUGUAACUGACACUGAGGCUCGAAAGCGUGGGGAGCAAACAGG
rnacentral:rRNA from 1 species